rnacentral:rRNA from 1 species
ACGAACGCUGGCGGCGUGCUUAACACAUGCCAGUCGAACGGUGAAGGGACCGGUUUUUGCUGGUUCUGGAUGAGUGGCGAACGGGUGAGUAACACGUGAGUAACCUGCCCCCUUCUUCUGGAUAACCGCAUGAAAGUGUGGCUAAUACGGGAUAUUCUGCGCCUGCUGCAUGGUGGGUGUGGGAAAGAUAUUGUUUCGGUGGGGGAUGGGCUCGCGGCCUAUCAGCUUGUUGGUGGGGUGAUGGCCUACCAAGGCGGUGACGGGUAGCCGGCCUGAGAGGGUGGACGGUCACACUGGGACUGAGACACGGCCCAGACUCCUACGGGAGGCAGCAGUGGGGAAUAUUGCACAAUGGGCGCAAGCCUGAUGCAGCGACGCCGCGUGAGGGAUGGAGGCCUUCGGGUUGUAAACCUCUUUCGCCAGUGAAGCAGGCCUGUCCCUUUUGUGGGUGGGUUGACGGUAGCUGGAUAAGAAGCGCCGGCUAACUACGUG